CAUGACCUGUGCUCAGCACCGGGCUCAGCAAAACACACAGAUCAAGAAUACAGUGCCCUUUGGGAGCCUGUGCCCUCCUCAAAUACCAAUUGUGAUGACAUAAGAAGCUGAGCAGGGUCAAAAUAAGGGAUGCUGCUGUUAAGCCCAGCCCCCAUUCAGUUCCACAAUUCCGGUCAGAAACAAAACAGACUUCACAUUCCAACACAGGGCCAUCAUUUCCAAAUUGAUAACUCAGUCAUCACAGGGUGUUUCUACCUAGGAAAAUUAGGAGUGAGAAAGGGCAAGAGAAAGGGUGGAUGGUAGGGAGCAAAAGGAGCUGGCAUUGUUGAACACCACGCAUGGGCUAUGCACUAGACAAAGGCUGUUUUAUUGAGUGCUCACAACAAAUCCACGAGUUUUUCAGAUGGUGUGGAAUGUGAAGGGUCCUGGAGGUCUGCCAGAGUGAAUCUCCAUCCUGCAGGGGCUGAGGCACCCAGCUGCUACCAGUACUACCACCAUGAUGGGAGGCAGGAAGUGCAGCUACAAUUGGUAUACAUAAAAUGAAGCAUAAACUUGAGUUGGC
rnacentral:lncRNA from 1 species